rnacentral:lncRNA from 1 species
AUGCUAUUCACACAGGUUUUUUGUUGUGUCCUCCAGUUCCAGGUGUUUGGUCAAUAUCUGUUCUGGGCCAGGGCAGUAUUUACCACUUUUUACACGUAUGGUUUCCACAGCAUGGUGAGGCAUAGAUUCCAUUUUAUGUCUGCUGCAUCAAUUUUCCUCCAUAUCUGCUCUCAAAAGACAUCCUGCUAUCUCAUUUUCAUAUCAUCCAGUAUGUUCGCUGACAGCCAACAGGAAAGGGGAAAAGAAGGAAAUUCCCUUCAUGAGUGCCAGCUCUGCAACCAUUCGGCCUUUGCUCUUUUCUGGCUCAUACAUCAUCACUAGGAAAAAAAAAAAUCCUGCAACUGGAACUUAACAAUUCCACUGUGAAGCAUGAAUCAGAAAGGAAUCCAGAGUUCUCUCCUACAGCUCCAUUAGCUCUGCAGUGCUAGUAAAAAUUAUUUGUUGCUAGCAAUUUUUUUGAGCAGAAGAGAGCUUUGCAAGACUUCUCAGAAAGGAAUCUGCUCUAGACAUUUAAGGCUUCAUUUGCACACUUAUUUUCCUGUUUGUUAUUGCACUUUGCAGUAGUUAUCGAUGGUGUGAAAUAUAUAAAUGUGUUAUAUGUCAAGCACAGCAAGCAGCAUUUCGUGACUUUAUUGAAUGAGUAUUUCUAUCUGUUCUUGUGAGAGCAUGUGUUGGUAAUGCCCAAAGCAAGUCAGAAGGAUUUCAUGGUGCUCAAUUCUUAAAGUGCAUUACAAGAGCACUUUUUUCCUCUUUUCUGUAACAACAAGUAGAUUACUUUAUCUCACAAACUGGGCACGGUUUCCCCUGCAGAUAAACCCAGAACUGUUCUGUGUUGCAUGAUAUGAAGUGAUGCCCAGUGUGACUAGGUUGUAAGAGCCAGAUGAAAACCUCAGGUUUACACAGGGAGCAGAGUGGACCAUCUUCAAUCCACUGGGUCACUACUAUGACAACUGCAAACCAGAGUUUAGGCUCCUAAGGGGAAAAGUCCCACUAACAUCAGCAGAAAUUUUGCCCAGUUGUGGAAUGCAGAAUUGGACUCUUUAUUUGUUCACUAGUGAAGGAAGCAAUGCCACAGUAAGAAAGCUGUUCUUGUAAGUUAUUUAUUGCUGAGUUUAGGGUUGGUUAGGAUUUGUGCCAGGUACUAAAUCAAUCCAGGUCAUGGAAAAUUUAUUUUUAAGCAUUGCUCUUUUGGAUGCCCCAAAAAUUGCUUUAUCUGUGAAUUAUUCUGAAAGACCACAACCAAUAAAAAAUGUGUGAAUCAUAAAUCA